rnacentral:misc_RNA from 1 species
GAUGAAGAACGCAGCAAAAUGCGAUAAGUAAUGUGAAUUGCAGAAUUCAGUGAAUCAUCGAAUCUUUGAACGCACAUUGCGCCCGCCAGUAUUCUGGCGGGCAUGCCUGUUCGAGCGUCAUUUCAACCCUCAAGCCCUCGGGUUUGGUGUUGGGGAUCGGCGAGCCUUUCUGGCAAGCCGGCCCCGAAAUCUAGUGGCGGUCUCGCUGCAGCCUCCAUUGCGUAGUAGUAAAACCCUCGCAACUGGAACGCGGCGCGGCCAAGCCGUUAAACCCCCAACUUUUUAUAGUUGACCUCGAAUCAGGUAGGACUACCCGCUGAACUUAAGCAUAUCAAUAAGCGGAGGA